rnacentral:rRNA from 1 species
CCUACGGGAGGCAGCAGUGGGGAAUUUUGGACAAUGGGCGCAAGCCUGAUCCAGCAAUGCCGCGUGAGUGAAGAAGGCCUUCGGGUUGUAAAGCUCUUUUGUCAGGGAAGAAACGGUGUGGGCUAAUAUCCCGCACUAAUGACGGUACCUGAAGAAUAAGCACCGGCUAACUACGUGCCAGCAGCCGCGGUAAUACGUAGGGUGCAAGCGUUAAUCGGAAUUACUGGGCGUAAAGCGUGCGCAGGCGGUUUUGUAAGUCUGUCGUGAAAUCCCCGGGCUCAACCUGGGAAUUGCGAUGGAGACUGCAAGGCUAGAAUCUGGCAGAGGGGGGUAGAAUUCCACGUGUAGCAGUGAAAUGCGUAGAGAUGUGGAGGAACACCGAUGGCGAAGGCAGCCCCCUGGGUCAAGAUUGACGCUCAUGCACGAAAGCGUGGGGAGCAAACAGGAUUAGAUACCCUGGUAGUCCACGCCCUAAACGAUGUCUACUAGUUGUACGGGUUUUAAUUAACGUUGGUAACGCAGCUAACGCGUGAAGUAGACCGCCGUGGGGAGUACGGUCGCAAGAUUAAAACUUAAUGAAUUGACGGNUGAGNGNGCGAGACGACGACGAGGAGAGG